UCUAAUCGAGUGUGGGUGCAUGUAGAUUUUUCGUGUCUAAGGGGUUAUAUAUUAGUAACGGUUAGUU
rnacentral:tRNA from 1 species